AGAGCAAGAAGCAUCUGUGCAGAGCUCGGGGCUUCCUGCUGCCACCACGCUCAGCCGGUGCAGGACGGGCUGGGACAGGGCUGCAAAAAGGUGGUUCUGUGCUGAGGAAUGGCUGCAGAAAGGAGAGCUGAUGCUGGAGGGGUGGUUGCAAGAGGAGAUCCAGGCCUGGAGACCUUCACUCUGCACAGCACCAAGGGAAACCUUUUUUAAAGUUUUGUGGCUGUGGUUCCUCUUCUGCCCAUUCUGGUCUUCUCCCAAAUGCUGCCAUGGCAUGCAAGGCAUGUGGAUGCUGAGCCAAGUGCCCAUAGGAAAUCUGCUGCUCUGAAACACCACCCCUGGCUGCAGACCAGAGUUGGAUUCUCACUUUCAUCAUCGAUUUCUCCUGCAAGCAUAAGGCAGUGACUCGCUCUUCUCACACCUCACUUUACACAGAGCAGAGGAAGGGUGAUGAUGACAUCUUUUUCUUGCUUGGGUGAUUCACAUGUGAUGCAACCACUUGGGACAGAGAAUCACACACUCCUCCAGCCCAACCUGUGACCAGCAUAUCUGUGGCUGGCAGUUUGGCCACUGGUCUCUCCUGGCUCCAGAGAUGGACUCAUCACUGUGGGGUCUUGCAAAUGGGAAGGCAACCAGCCCAGUUCACGGAAAGGCCCCAUUAAUAGCACAGGCAGAGUAAAUCAGGAUGCUUCCAGAUGGCAAAGGGGGAAGGUUCUCAUGGGAAGACAGCCAUCCAGCCACACGCUCCAGAAAGCCGCCUGCUGUUGCGCAGUACAGGAAGCCACCGCACCGUGUGUGCUCCAGGCACGUCUCACCAACAACCCGUGCUUCUCCUGAGCUCCCAUCCUGCCCUAAGGAGCUUUAACCAACAGGUUUGUAUCGACGUUUGAGCGCUCCUGGGCCGUGUUCUCCUGCCACAGCAGGCUUUAGGAGUUGGGGGAUGCUCUGCUCCCUGCACACAACCUCCAAAGCUGCUUUGGUUUUAUUCCUUCUGCAUUAAGACUCUUGCGCCCAUCCUCUCCCUUCUCCUUCCCUGGACCAGCAUCUCCCAGCCCAAGCAGGACUGGAAGAAGAAGUGGAAAAAUGUAGGGUCACUGCUUUAGAGGGUUUGCAGGUGGGAUACAGCAGAAGCAGGGGGGGCUGCUUGAGUGCAUCCCAUUUAGAAACAGCACAGCGGAGAAGAGGAAACCACAGCAGCAUUUGCAGAAACGUUUCAUCCCUGUAAUCAGCAUGGGCAGAGAACAAGAAAAUCAACUCGGAAGUGUCCUCCAGGAAACCAACAUUGGCAAAAUGCAGCAGAGCAACACUUAAUCUCAGCUGUACCGCUUCAUUCUUGUAUCCUAUUUCACAGUCUUUUUUUUAUUCUUGGUAAAAGAAUAAGAAUAAUAAUAGGAUAAGGUAGGCAUGGGAAAAUAUGAGCUAGCUGGGGGUUAUUUCUGUGAACAGCUGUAGAAACAGGUUUUAACACACAGUGAAAGCAGAUGAGAUCGUAACUUUUAAUAGGGACAUAUUUAAUAAACCAAAGGCAGAGAGGAGAUGAUCCAUUGCCUUUAUCGGGAAUUAUU